rnacentral:pre_miRNA from 1 species
UCAGUACUCCCUCCUUCUUAUAUUAAGUGUCGUAAUAUUACAUGUAUUUAGACAAAUUUUAGUAUAUAAAUACGUUCAUAUUCAGACAAAUUUAAAUCACUUAAUAUGAGACGGAGGGAGUAUAAC